rnacentral:rRNA from 1 species
UGACCGCUGGCGGCAGGCCUAACACAUGCAAAUCGCGCGGAUGAAGGGAGCUUGCUCCUGGAUUCAGCGGCGGACGGGUGAGUAAUGCCUAGGAAUCUGCCUGGUAGUGGGGGAUAACGUCCGGAAACGGGCGCUAAUACCGCAUACGUCCUGAGGGAGAAAGUGGGGGAUCUUCGGACCUCACGCUAUCAGAUGCGCCUAGGUCGGAUUAGCUAGUUGGUGGGGUAAAGGCCUACCAAGGCGACGAUCCGUAACUGGUCUGAGAGGAUGAUCAGUCACACUGGAACUGAGACACGGUCCAGACUCCUACGGGAGGCAGCAGUGGGGAAUAUUGGACAAUGGGCGAAAGCCUGAUCCAGCCAUGCCGCGUGUGUGAAGAAGGUCUUCGGAUUGUAAAGCACUUUAAGUUGGGAGGAAGGGCAGUAAGUUAAUACCUUGCUGUUUUGACGUUACCAACAGAAUAAGCACCGGCUAACUUCGUG